UACGGAAGGGGCUAGCGUUGUUCGGAAUUACUGGGCGUAAAGAGCGCGUAGGCGGCUUACCAAGUUGGGGGUGAAAUCCCGGAGCUCAACUCCGGAACUGCCUUCAAAACUGGUAGGCUCGAGUCCGGAAGAGGGGCGUGGAAUUCCCAGUGUAGAGGUGAAAUUCGUAGAUAUUGGGAAGAACACCGGUGGCGAAGGCGGCGCCCUGGUCCGGUACUGACGAUGAGGCGCGAAAGCUAGGGUAGCAAACGGG
rnacentral:rRNA from 1 species